GAUGAACGCUGGCGGCGUGCCUAAUACAUGCAAGUCGAGCGAACAGACGAGGAGCUUGCUCCUCUGACGUUAGCGGCGGACGGGUGAGUAACACGUGGAUAACCUACCUAUAAGACUGGGAUAACUUCGGGAAACCGGAGCUAAUACCGGAUAAUAUAUUGAACCGCAUGGUUCAAUAGUGAAAGACGGUUUUGCUGUCACUUAUAGAUGGAUCCGCGCCGCAUUAGCUAGUUGGUAAGGUAACGGCUUACCAAGGCAACGAUGCGUAGCCGACCUGAGAGGGUGAUCGGCCACACUGGUACUGAGACACGGUCCAGACUCCUACGGGAGGCAGCAGUAGGGAAUCUUCCGCAAUGGGCGAAAGCCUGACGGAGCAACGCCGCGUGAGUGAUGAAGGUCUUCGGAUCGUAAAACUCUGUUAUUAGGGAAGAACAAAUGUGUAAGUAACUAUGCGCGUCUUGACGGUACCUAAUCAGAAAGCCACGGCUAACUACGUG
rnacentral:rRNA from 1 species